rnacentral:tRNA from 1 species
GCUCGGUUAGGCAAAUUGGCUAAGCCGCCACUCUUUCACGGUGGAAAUUACGGGUUCGACCCCCGUACCAAGUA